GAUGAACGCUGGCGGCGUGCCUAAUACAUGCAAGUCGAGCGAACGGACAAGAAGCUUGCUUUUCUGAUGUUAGCGGCGGACGGGUGAGUAACACGUGGAUAACCUACCUAUAAGACUGGGAUAACUUCGGGAAACCGGAGCUAAUACCGGAUAAUAUUUUGAACCGCAUGGUUCAAAAGUGAAAGACGGUCUUGCUGUCACUUAUAGAUGGAUCCGCGCUGCAUUAGCUAGUUGGUAAGGUAACGGCUUACCAAGGCAACGAUGCAUAGCCGACCUGAGAGGGUGAUCGGCCACACUGGAACUGAGACACGGUCCAGACUCCUACGGGAGGCAGCAGUAGGGAAUCUUCCGCAAUGGGCGAAAGCCUGACGGAGCAACGCCGCGUGAGUGAUGAAGGUCUUCGGAUCGUAAAACUCUGUUAUUAGGGAAGAACAUAUGUGUAAGUAACUGUGCACAUCUCGACGGUACCUAAUCAGAAAGCCACGGCUAACUACGUG
rnacentral:rRNA from 1 species